rnacentral:rRNA from 1 species
GACGAACGCUGGCGGCGUGCUUAACACAUGCAAGUCGAGCGGUAAGGCCCUUUCGGGGGUACACGAGCGGCGAACGGGUGAGUAACACGUGGGUGACCUGCCCUCAGCUCUGGGAUAAGCCUGGGAAACCGGGUCUAAUACUGGAUAUGACUCCAUGACGCAUGUUGUGGGGUGGAAAGCCUUGUGCGGCUGAGGAUGGGCCCGUGGCCUAUCAGCUUGUUGGUGGGGUGANGGCCUACCAAGGCGACGACGGGUAGCCGGCCUGAGAGGGCGACCGGCCACACUGGGACUGAGACACGGCCCAGACUCCUACGGGAGGCAGCAGUGGGGAAUCUUGCGCAAUGGGCGAAAGCCUGACGCAGCGACGCCGCGUGAGGGAUGACGGCCUC